rnacentral:rRNA from 1 species
UACAGAGGUCCCGAGCGUUGUUCGGAUUCACUGGGCGUAAAGGGUGCGUAGGCGGCGCGGUAAGUCGGGUGUGAAAUCUCGGGGCUUAACUCCGAAACUGCAUUCGAUACUGCCGUGCUUGAGGACUGGAGAGGAGACUGGAAUUUACGGUGUAGCGGUGAAAUGCGUAGAUAUCGUAAGGAAGACCAGUGGCGAAGGCGGUCUCUGGGCCUUACCUGACGCUGAGGAGCGAAAGCGUGGGGAGCGAACAGG